AGAGAGAGCCAAGUGGAAAAACAAAAAAAGAAACAUUAUUUAAAUUCUUAUUUUAUCUUUAUUUUGUUUGAUUUUUUUAUCAUCGGGUGUUGAAAGAGUCUCCGUCAACCUCCUUCACGAUCGUGCUCGCAGGAGGAGGAAUUCCGAUCGUAUCUUGGGGUGUUAUUUCUGGUUAAACCCGCACGUAAGGAUGGGAAUACGCCUUAGGGUAGUGCUUCGCACGCUUCCGGAUCAAUUAAAUAUUUAUUUGGAUUUAGCGAUCAUCGGUAAGUUGAUUUAUUUAUUUUCAUAAUAAAAAUUAGUUAGAACCUUAAUCACAAACAGAUUUCUGUGCGGUAUUUGUUAUAACAAUCUAAGGCGUAUAUUCCGAUUUGAUUAUGAUUGAAAUCUAACGAGUACUAAUCCGUAUUAAAUUAAUUUUAUAUGUAUAUAAUUUGUUUGUUAAUUUGUUUGUUAACUUGUUUGUAUAAUUGGCAUUCAAAUAAAAAAUUUUUGGAGAUUAGCACUUUAACAUGUAAUUGUAUAUUAUUUAAUUUACCAUUGAAAUUAUAAUUUAUUUGGUGAUUAAAAAAAAAAAAAAGCUUUGCUACACAAAAUUAAUUUUAAACAAUUUUGCUACAGUAAAAUACUUUUUAGUGUUGGAUUUCUUUGCGUACGUGUGUGUGUAUAUAUAUAUACUAUUUUCUGGUUUUUAAUUAAAAAAAAAAAAAAACACUGUAGCUUUUCUUAACAGAUUUUGCAUGUUAUAAAAAAAAAUGCUACAGUAAAAUUAAUUUUACUGUGUUUGGUUUUUUGAGUUGUUGCUACAGUAAAAACUCUUUGGUGAAAAAAAAAAUUGUUUUCAGUGGGAUUCGAAUCCGCAACUGGUUUGCUAAACUUCUUAUAGCCACCGGCUCAAACCAGCAAACCAAAUUUUAAUCAUUUUUAUUUUUGUUUCAGUAUUGUUUAUAUACUCUGUUUGUAACAUCAAAUAAUAGUAUGAUUCUAUAUAUUUUGCUCGAAAUUAUCUUUUAAAAUUGUUUGGGCAUCUAUUUGUUGUUAAACAGAACCCUACUGGACACAUGAUUAAUAUCAUGAUCUUAAGUUUUAAUGUAUCUUAGAACUUGUGAGGGGAAACUCUUUUAUCUAUUGAUAAAUUUUGAUAUUAUGAUUGCUCUCGUAUUUUAUCUGUUUUACUAUUAAUGUUCAUCUUGAAAAAUAAUUUAGUAAAUUCUAAAGUUGGCAAAUAAAUUAUAUUGACAUAAAUUUAUUAGAUAGUUAUUUUUCAUAAUGUUAGUUAUUUGAGUUUUAUCAGAUCUGAUCAGAAUCUUGCAGAUUGUUUGACGAAAUGCCUGAAUAGGACUAAGGUCCUCGAGUCAUCGAGGGAGAUGGGACUUUGCCCAUAAAGGGCCUUCCUGCAGCGGGAACCCAAUCUUUAUGAUAGGGGAUCCCUUGAAGAAGGUUCAAUGUGGUAAAAACAAGCUAGUAGAUUGGCCAAAGAGCACUUUCUACAGUUUAUUUAAAGGAGUUUUAGCUCCAAUCCCAUCCCUAUGGUGAGUAGUGCUCUGUGUAGCGGUUGAGGUUGAGCUUAUAGCUCUUAAUGGGAUCCGAGGCGAUAAUUUUCGCGAGAUGUGACUCUACACACAUCCCUGGAGAAAACCGCCUAUAUAAGAGUAUCCGUAUGUAGGCGCGGCUAUGUGAAUGGGCUAUCCAUAGAAACUCUUAUGAAAAAUCAAGGUACUGUGCAUGGCCAUUAACGCACAGACCCGCGACGAAGAAUUCUAUACUGUGUGUGUAAUAGUUGAAGUCAGGGUCAAAGAAACGUAGUUCAAGAUCUGGUUCACGCCGAUUCCUUAUGAUGAAAACUAUUUACACUAAGUGGGGUUAAGUCUCUUAAAGACACCUCGCCUAUUGCAUAGUAUAAAUACCCGAUGAUUUAUUUAUUUGUUUGUUUAAUUCUUAUUUUGUAAUUUUGAAUUUUGUGGAAAAUUGUUGGUGAAAAAUUCAAAAUCUCUAAAUAUUAUUUAAUUUUAUAAUUAUUCUCAUUUAUUGUCUUUUAUUAUGUUAAUUAAUUUGAUGAAUUAAUGUAAUUAAUUUCAUGCCUUUAUGCCAUAUAAAGGCAUGAACGAUGGAAACGUUGGAAAAGUUUCCAACGUACCAUUUUCUCUCCACAAUAUAUAUACAUUGGAUUGCAUUGUUUAUCUAGGACAUAUAAAUGACUGAGAGAGAGCCAAGUGGAAAAAAAAAGAAGAAACAUUAUUUAAAUUCUUAUUUUAUCUUUAUUUUGUUUGAUUUUUUUAUCAUCGGGUGUUGAAAGAGUCUCCGUCAACCUCCUUCACGAUCGUGCUGGUAGGAGGAGGAAUUCCGGUCAUACCUUGGGGUGGUAUUUCCGAUUAAUCCCGCACGUAAGGACAGGAAUACGCCAUAAGGCAGUGCCUCGCACGCUUCCGGAUCAAUUAAGUAUUUAUUUGGAUUUAGCGAUCAUCGGUAAGUUGAUUUAUUUAUUUUCAUAAUAAGAUUUAGUUAGAUUUAAAUCACAAUCAGAUUUUAUGUGCGGCCAUUGUUCCAACAGUUUAAAGGCUAUAGAUAGUGCUUUUAGAUUUUUUUUAAAA
rnacentral:lncRNA from 1 species